UGGUGGUAACAUUUUCCUGCUUAGUGAGU
rnacentral:piRNA from 1 species